GGGUCAGUAGGUUGGUCGUGCCACCGGUACGUACUGGUCUCACUGAUUCCUCCUUCCUGAAGAACCGUAAUGCCAUUAAUUUGGUGUUGCGGGGAAACUGGACUGUUACUUUGAAAAAAUUAGAGUGUUUAAAGCAAGCUAACGCUUGAAUACAUUAGCAUGGAAUAAUGAAAUAGGACGAUCGAUCCUAUUUUGUUGGUUUCUAGGAUUGACUUA
rnacentral:rRNA from 1 species